CAAACGUGUAACGCAACUAACCGCCGACUUUUGCGAUCACACAAGUCACACUUCGCAGGCUAAAAAUUCCAAUUCUUGUUGGUAUGAAAGCACUGUGUCUCCUGCGUAUUAGAAAAUUUAUAGACUGAUUUGUUACCGCAAAACAUAGCCAACACAAUUAACUUUAUGACUCACAGAUAACGAAAUUUGUAACGCAACUAACCCUGGAGUUACCCAUAUAACCACGGGAUUCGA